GGCCAGGAUUUGAAGCACAGCAUAUUCUGACACUUGUGAAAAAAAGAAAACAAGGCCAGUGCAUUUGCCAGGGCAUCCAAGCAGUUCCCAGCAACCCCGUGUGAGCUUUGCAGACUGACCCAGCAUGCAAGUGCCUGAUGCAAAGCAAAGAGCAAUUCCUGAGCUGCAUUCAGAGACAGAGACAGAGUUGCCAGGCCCAGAAUUCCGGCAAUUACUCAGUGGAAAUGGAAACAGCACCACAGAUGCCAAAGGCUGCGAAAUGAGAACACUGGCCACCUUUGUGCUUCUCCCGGAGACGCCUUGAUGAGCCGGGAGCCCCGCAAUUAGAGCUGCCGUGUUAAUGAGCCCCGAGCGCGGGGGUGAGGGGCGCCGGCCGAGCCGCCAGGGGGCGCUGCCGCCCGCGGCACGGCCCGGCCGUGAGGGAGCCGCCAUGGAGCCGGGAAUGGCCUGGGGCCGCAGGG